AACGAACGCCGGCGGCAUGCCUAACACAUGCAAGUCGAACGAGAUCUUCGGGUCUAGUGGCGCACGGGUGCGUAACGCGUGGGAAUCUGCCCUUUGGUUCGGAAUAACAGUUGGAAACGACUGCUAAUACCGGAUGAUGACGAAAGUCCAAAGAUUUAUCGCCAGAGGAUGAGCCCGCGUAGGAUUAGCUAGUUGGUGUGGUAAAGGCGCACCAAGGCGACGGUCCUUAGCUGGUCUGAGAGGAUGAUCAGCCACACUGGGACUGAGACACGGCCCAGACUCCUACGGGAGGCAGCAGUGGGGAAUAUUGGACAAUGGGCGAAAGCCUGAUCCAGCAAUGCCGCGUGAGUGAUGAAGGCCUUAGGGUUGUAAAGCUCUUUUACCCGGGAUGAUAAUGACAGUACCGGGAGAAUAAGCUCCGGCUAACUCCGUGCCAGCCGCCGCAGUAAAAC
rnacentral:rRNA from 1 species